CGGUUUCGGUUUCAUGAUCUUUUGCUAUACAUGUCCCACAAACAUAACUGAGUACCUGGCCCCUUCAAGAACGAGUCCGUUCGUGUCGAAUCCGAUGACUAAAAGGAGAAGAAGAUUACAGAAACAUUAGUGUUAUGGUCCGAAUGGAUGUAGGUGGAGACGUCGCGUCGUCCUCUUUCUACUCACAUAAAGAGCAGCGUCGGGACCACCGGACGGAACAGUCGGUACCUCGGCCGCGCCGGUACCGAAGCCGUCGAACCCUCCUGGUUCUAAAGAAGUCUUUGACAGGCGGCAGAGCCACGUCGUCUCUACCUGGAGUCUAGGCCAAGGGCGAGGUCGAGGAACUAAGGUCGUUGUGUAGUAGUAGUAGUAGUAGUAGGAGUGGGACGCCGCGCUGCUGUACGCACUUUGAUCGUACGAGUCCGGUUCUGUGGUAGUACGAAGUGGGUGAAGAACCGGGUACGGCACAGUGGCGGUAUUUAAUGUGGCCACGGAGGGAGUCGUAGUGGGGCGAACGGAGGCGUACGUGCUACUAAGUCUUCGAGCAGAGCUGUUCAAGUGGUGGCCGACUGCGGCCGAUGGCGACGCGCGGUGUGAUGCGGCCUCGACCUUACGAACAUCCGACGAGUUCCCUCAAGUGCGGUUCGCCCUAGUGAGUCAUAGGACAGAUACUACUGUCUCCACGAAAGACACGAAGACGGAGCCGGCGGCGACGGUAGCGACCGGGUUAGAGGACGGAACUGUUGCGUUGAGUGAAGAGCAUAAACCACCGUUGACUACGAAAGUACAUACUAGAAGGUAACCUGACGUUCCAGUAGAGUCUACGGUUGUAGGGUUAUAAACCGUAUCCUAUAAUGCCGAGUCGUAGGUUCGUACCAGACCUUCUUCUUGGGAGGCAAUAAUGCUGUAUCGUCGACUGACCUCACUUGUCCUCGGCAGUAGGCAACGGAUAGUUACGGUUUAUACGCUCAACUUACUCGUUGCGACGCGGAAGUCGAGUGUCUCCUUACUUUGUAAGACGAACAGAGUUGGAGUAUUUCCAAGUACACAGUUUCAGUAACGUCGAUGUAGUAGCCACCGGCGUAAACAACAAGAAGACAACUACCACCGGUGACGAGAAAUAGAAAGUGACUUUUGUUCUAUGUUGCUUCUCUAUGUGAACUUUCAGCUUUACAAAGAGUUCUGUAUACUAUGUAGUUUUGGUUGUUCCAUGUGAAAGAGGCUUUAAUUUUUCUAUUGCUCUGCGAAGUUCCUAUUUAAUCCUGUACCACCUAUACCUUCGCACAUGUUUCCACUCGAUGGUUUACCCCAAGGACAGUGGCAGUUCUACGAACUCUUGAGAUUACCUCUUCCCGUCCUUAAGUAGUUACUUCAACGUUGAUAACCCUCUUAGGUGGUAUGUUUGUAACAGGCUGAGGAACCGAAAACGAGACUUCCCUGUUCUUCCCGAGAAUAAAUACUUAAGUACGGAUUUCUAAGUAACCUCUUUAUAUAUAAGAGUCCAUUAAGAUAAUAAAGAGUUCUUGAGGACCAUGGCCUGUUUUACGAUCUAUAACGAAAUCCGUAACGAUCUCCUUACCUCAUGAAUGUAGUUCCUACGUUGGUUGCGUAUGAGGUGAAGCUGUAGUUCGGAGUGUUAUAGAAUAACCUGAUGUUGAAGUUGGGCUUCUAGAGUCUGAAGCCGGAACGUUUUAACACAUGUUCCCUAGUUUCGUAGUAGUGCAACUGGCGUCGUUCUCCGUGAUACCCCAUGUAGCGUGGUCUCUAAAUGAGAUCCUUGAAACCACCCUAUAGGAUGUUCAGCCUACAAAUGUCAAAGCCGUACAACCACAAUCUUUACCAUUCACCUGCCUCCUUGAGUCUGGGUUCAUGGCUCUCGGUCUUGGUCCUUAUGGAGGGCCUCACCUAGAUGCUCUUUCAUUAGUGACCUCUCCUUGACCACGAAUGAAACCUUCACUGUGGUCUUCCCUUUCUUUUCCGCUCUGUCGACCGUUAGCACCGUGAAACCACAUAAGUCACCUUGGGUUCUUCGGCCGGUAGUUACUGUUUCCACCAUUUAUACAAUUGACCUUCGAAUGUCUUAGACGUCUACGGGGGAUUCGGUAAACAGGGUAGACUUUUAAUGGCGUACGGUAUCUGUUUGUACCUCUAUAUAUAGUGGUAUCAGGUAACCAUGAUGUGCCCUGUAUCAACUAAGUACACACAUAACGAGAAAUGGCAUGGUGCCAAAGAUCGUACAUAUUUUUUUAAUAACCGUUCAGUUGACACACACACACACACACACAAUCGAUCGUAUGGACUACAGGCCUAGAUCAAGUACUCGGUAAUAUAACAU
rnacentral:rRNA from 1 species